CCAAGGAAUAGCAUGCCCAUUUACCAUAAUGAACUCUACUAAUACCCCGUUUUUUAUCUGCUCUACAUAUUAAUUUUGUCUUACAUCAGACAUUGUAAAUUGUGCAGCUGCACAGGGACGUUGAUGGGAUGCCAAGGUGGAGGGAAGCAGCAGCCGGUGGAGGACUUGCUAUUGUGAAUGUUUCUGCCUUGAUGCAUCUUGGACUUGUCGAUCUCAAACUGCACACAAGUAAGCACCAAUGCAUCAGGAAAACCACUAAGCAAAACACAAUGAUGAUGAACACAGGCUGGCAUUAACUGCAAUGAUAUUUAACGUUUCUGCACAAGACAGACAGCCUCUAAAGAAUGUAUGAUUAGCAAACAUUUAAGGAAACUUAAUCUCCACUGCACACACCUCGGAAGACAUGAACAUUUACUUAUUGUGAGCUUAAUGAUCUCUAGAAAAAAACAGGCUUACGUAUUGCAGCGGAAAUUUCUGAAUUUGGAGCUUCUUUACUUUGUUAACUAGUGUAAAGUGUACAAUGUUCCUGAACUUAAAUCACAAUCGUUUGUUAGAUAAUUUUGUUUUUUCACUGUUCAACCACAGAAUCAAGAAAAUAAAAAGUGAAUAAAUUCUAAGGGCAAAGCAGAACUUGAAUCGUUUCCAAUUUGGACAUAGGAAAUCAGCCAGCCGGCAUAGCAGAGCUCGGUAAUAAACAACAUAACAGACAUCAUCACUGGCAUCAACGAGAUCUCAAAAUCGCAUGAAGCAGAACUGCUCCGCAUCGACAAGAAUUGGAGACAGGGGGAGGGAUAUGGUGAAGCUCACCUUGAGAGAAGGAGGCGACGGUCGGCUUGGAGUAGGUGGACUCGGGGGAUGGCGACGGUGAGCUCGCUGCAGCGGUUGUGGCCGAUGGUGGUGCGCCAGAAGGCGCGGCCCCGCGCGGCGACGCCCGACCGCGCGACACAUCACAGUGACAGAGAAAGGUUCCUAUCUGAAUAUAUGAAAUUACUAGUUCGAACAUACUGAGCACACACUUGACAGAGUAUGAUAUAAAGAAACUGCAUACAAGCUAAACCUAUGGAAUUCCCACAGUAUGCAACUACAACUGAAUUCCCAUCUAUAACCAUGAACAUUUGGGGAAAAAACAAACCUUUUGAUUUCCAUGUCCUUUUCCAUCCCGUGUUCCACAAGAGAGUCUGCUGAAAUGACAUAAACGAAAUUAGCAGCAAGCAGAAGUAGUCUUCUGUUGUUUCGUUUUUCUGUAGUGACCGAUGUUGCUGUGAGACAGUUUUAGAAAGCACUCCCCUGCUUUCAGUAGCCGUCGCAAAUACUCAGUUCAGUAACCUAUGCUGAUUCAACUCUAAUGUUACCGGCACAGGAUUAUGCAAGGUUCCAGCAAGUCAAGUCGAAGAAAAGGAGCUCAAAGCAUACAAAAAGAUUGAGAAGGAGGAGAUGAACACACUUUUAAACCAGUACCUCAAUUUCUGCAGAUUUUCUCUCAAGGUCAGUUAACUAAUCCAGGAAAGGCUACAUGGAUCACUUAUGAUUUCUUGUUAUAUGUCAUCUGUAAAAAUAUAAAAUUUAAAAUUAACAGAUGCAAGCUGAAACACUGGUGAUCGAGAAGAACAGUCUUGCAAAUGGGAUUAUCGAGCUCAUUGAUAGAAUCACAUUACAAAGCUUGUUAUGGGAGCAUCUUCCUUCUCAGUGUAUGUACAGAUGCAAUACUCCAACUCUGUAACGAGGUUUUCUGGAAAAAAAUACACGGCAAUUAUUUCCAACUAAACUGUUUCCAUAUAGCAAAGCACCAUGAGUUAUGUAAUUAGAUGCUCGACUCCUGUAUAUGUAAAUUUCAUAUUUCUUUUUAUUGGUCUGUUGUUCUAACAAGUGGCGAUAAGGAAGGCGGCAGAACCAUUUAGUCAAUACUUCACUUAAAACGCCCAAUAACAAAUAACUACAGUUUAACUAAUUAUCAUCUCUCCCUCUGUCAGAAGUCUAAAGUAGAAAUAACCCAAGUUGUUUAUGUUGAUUAUGAAUCUUGCAUGAACAGGAAGAGGAAAGUACAAAAAUCAAAAGUUGCUGUCGGUGUGCAUCUACAGGCCAAACCAUAUUGCCAGAUCUUCUUUAUUUGUAAAGAGACUCUUGGUUGCUCUAGGUAUGAGUGUCAUGCAUCCCUAACUCAGCAUAAAGCAAAUACUACAUAGACUUUGCAAAUUUCAGCUCAAGCAACUACUCAAAAUUAUAUAUAGCCUCGCAAGUAAAACGGUGUCAUUUUUCUUAUCAUUUUUCAGGGAGGCCACUCAGCUUUGUACAAAAGUAGAGUCACCCCAAAGUAGCUGUGCAAGCACUAUCUUGGACCAACCUGAUUUAACUCCAAGAUCCGUAUCACUGCCACCACGGCCUCCAGGUCUCUUAGGCCCCAUAGGCCAACAAGCCCUUCCACGACGGUCCAACUCAGUCAGUUAUCCCUUGUCUAGAUUGAUAACAGAAAAUGUAGAAAAUAAAAUCAGUGGAAUGUUUGACAAUAGAAUGUAUUUGGUUGUAGUAACUCUUAACCAGUAGUGUCUCUAAUGUUUACCAAUGGCACUAUGGAAAAAUUCUCAACCAGUAGUGUAUUUCAGGGAAAUGGUUGACAAUAGAAUAUAUUUGGCUUCAGUAACUCUCAACAAGUAGUGUCUCUAAUGUUUGCCAAUGGCACUAUGGAAAAAUUCCACUUUGCGAAACAAAAUCUUACUGCUAUUGGUCUAUCAUCUAAAUUUUAGUUGACCAACCAAGGUCUUCAGUUUUGGUCUCAGUUAUCAUACUUAUUAGAUAAUGUUGUCAUACUUACUGAAUUCGAAGCAAACAAAAUGUUUUACAGGUGGAAAUACAUGAAAUUUUUGAGCAAC
rnacentral:lncRNA from 1 species